rnacentral:tRNA from 2 species
GCCCCGCCGUCGGAGGCCGAUCGCUCGCUGCGGAUGAGCCGUGCUUCGGACGGUGCGCUGCUGGGCACGUUCGAGCUGUACGGCGGGGCG